rnacentral:rRNA from 1 species
CCUACGGUGGGCAGCAGUGAGGAAUAUUGGUCAAUGGGCGCGAGCCUGAACCAGCCUAGUAGCGUGAAGGAUGACUGCCCUACGGGUUGUAAACUUCUUUUAUAAAGGAAUAAAGUGAGGCAAGUGUGCCUUUUUGUAUGUACUUUAUGAAUAAGGAACGGCAAACUCCGUGCCAGGGGCUGCGGUAAUACGGAGGAUCCGAGCGUUAUCCGGAUUUAUUGGGUUUAACGGGAGCGUAGAUGGGUUGUUAAGUCAGUUGUGAAAGUUUGCGGCUCAACCGUAAAAUUGCAAUUGAUACUGGCAGUCUUGAGUACAGUUGAGGUAGGCGGAAUUCGUGGUGUAGCGGUGAAAUGCUUAGAUAUCACGAAGAACUCCGAUUGCGAAGGCAGCUUACUAAACUGCCACUGACAUUGAUGCUCGAAAGUGUGGGUAUCAAACAGGAUUAGAUACCCGAGUAGUC